rnacentral:rRNA from 1 species
AUUGAACGCUGGCGGCAGGCCUAACACAUGCAAGUCGAGCGGUAGCACAGAGAGCUUGCUCUCGGGUGACGAGCGGCGGACGGGUGAGUAAUGUCUGGGAAACUGCCUGAUGGAGGGGGAUAACUACUGGAAACGGUAGCUAAUACCGCAUAACGUCGCAAGACCAAAGUGGGGGACCUUCGGGCCUCAUGCCAUCAGAUGUGCCCAGAUGGGAUUAGAUGGUAGGUGGGGUAACGGCACACCUAGGCGACGAUCCCUAGCUGGUCUGAGAGGCUGACCAGCCACACUGGAACUGAGACACGGUCCAGACUCCUACGGGAGGCAGCAGUGGGGAAUAUUGCACAAUGGGCGCAAGCCUGAUGCAGCCAUGCCGCGUGUGUGAAGAAGGCCUUCGGGUUGUAAAGCACUUUCAGCGGGGAGGAAGGCGAUGAGGUUAAUAACCUCAUCGAUUGACGUUACCCGCAGAAGAAGCACCGGCUAACUCCGUGCCAGCCGCCGCCGUAA